rnacentral:lncRNA from 1 species
UAGGAAUAAUGUUUGAUAUCUUCAAAUUAUCCCUAUGAUAAUUUACUGAAAGGUAAUUGGUUGUUCAAGUAGGUUUAUACACUCUUACUACUCAAGGGUGUGGGAAACUAAAUGAAAGAUGUAAACUAUAACAACAAUACAUAUAUAAGAUUAUAAGUGUAUAUGCAUAGUUUAGUUCAAGAAUGUAAAAUGGUUUUGUAAGACAUUUAAGGGUUUUGAACAAAUAUAAAAGUGACUUGAUGUCAUUUUGAUAACCAUUUCAAAAGUAAUACAUUUGAUAACAAAGUAUUUUAAAGAUAGAAAACCAUUUCAUGCAUCUCAUCUUGUAGUAUGUGAAAUCUGUUGAAUGAAAACACAGUUAUAAAAUACAUAUAGAUGAUUUAAUAACAUGAUGUUUUCUACUUGUAUUCCCUCCCAUUAAAGCAUUUAAAAUCAUUCAAAACAUUGAUUAGGGGUAUGAACUCACCUGUNGCGUGUAGGGAUGAGAAGUUCCACGAAUGAAGUCCCGAGACACAAUAAGUCCUAAAUGAUAUUUAAGGACACAUAAUGACAUGAAUAUAGUGUUUAUAACAACUAUAUGAAAGAUAACACCUUCCGGGACUAGGAAACACCUUGACCAAGUGUUGGAAUCACAUGUGAUUCAACAUAGGAAUGUAUACCGGAACACUUAUGAGUUUACUACCAUGAGUUCACGGCCCAAGGGAGUUUACGGCCGUAAACUCAUGGUCACUCAUGGGUUUGUGUAAGUAUGAAAGCUAGGGAAUGAUUUAGGGACAUUAGCUCUAGCAUAGGAUGAGAAAGACCACCUUCUUUGGAGUUUUUGAGGUGUUCACGGCCCAAAUGAGUUUACUACCGUAAAAUCAUGGCCAAAUAUACUUAUGGGGGUCCUAAAGGUCAUAAGGAAGCAUUCUAAAUUCAUGCCUAAUCCCUUGGAAGUGUUUGUGGCAUCAAAACACCCCUAACUUGAGUUUACGGCCCAUGGACCAUUUGGUCAUGUGUUUACGGCCGUAAACACUUGUGGGUGGUUGUAUUUUGGUUGUUUUGUAUCUGAUACACAUCUAGGUAAAAAGCUAUGCUAGUCUCUUAGCUUAAGGGUGGCAUUUAGGGCAUUUUGACACCCGAAAAUGGAGUUCACGGCCCAAGAACUUCCUUGGCCGUGAACUCACUUUCAACCCUUGAUUCUAUUUGUUUUGGAUGUCUAACCCUGUCAUAGGUAGUCUCAAGGUUCAUUUCCAAGGCUUUGUGGGUCAUUAGGACACUUUUGGCCCUUAAAAUGGAGUUUACUCUCCAAAAGGAUUUUACUCUCCAAGAUGUUCUUGGGGAGUAAACUCUCAAAUCUUGUUGUUUUGAGUUUGUUUUCUAUCCCUAAACUCAUUUGUGUACAAGUCCAAACUAGUUUCAUGGCUUAAGGAAGGACUAGGCCUCAUUUGGCUUUCGAAAAGGAUUUACUCUCCAAGAUGUUCUUGGGGAGUAAACUCACAGAUCUUGUUGUUCUGUCGUGAUUUUGAUGUUAUUAAGCACAAUCUAAGCUAUAUAAUACAACUAGAUUGAAGUACUCACGUUUUGGGAUAAAAACCCGAAGAUCCGUGAGAGAGAAUUUGGCUUUUCUCUAAUUGGAAAUGUAACUAAUGAAUUAUUUGGUUCAGUUUUCUAUUUAUAGUCCUGAGAUUUUUGGCAGAAAAUAUUUUAUUCCCGGAAUGAACUCUAAUAUCAUAGAGUAUUGAAAUAACAGUGUUGCACAAAACCCUAGUGCAUCCACUCUCCUGAUAUCUCCUUAAGUGUAAAUCCUGAAAAACUCAAACUUAUACCCAAAGUCUGGUAUUUCACUGAAACUGUUCUAACCUCUAUUGGCUUGAUAUGGUUUGUUCAGAAUGGAAAUUUUGGGUUGUCACAUGUUCAUAUUCUGUAUGCUUUUAACAUUGGAAUAAGUAUUAACCAACAGUUUAACUUGUAAAGUUAGUUUUCAAACUGUUUGUGAAACUCGUUAUAAAAUGUCAUAUUUUAUAUUUCACAAAUGAUUUUUCCAUGUCAUUACUGUUAAAAGCAUUAGCUUAGUACUUUUGAUUCGUCCUCGGUAACACUCCACAGAGAUACGCGAGUGGAGGACCACCUUUUUGUAACAAGAUUUUUGCAUUAUUACUUGUAAAUUUGUUAUUCUUAAAAAUUAGAGACACGUCCUCGGAAACACUCCACAGAGAUAUGCGAGUGGAGGACUCGCAAUUUGGAUAACAGAGAUUUACUUGUUAGUAAUAAUGAACCUAGUAACUAGUUUACUUCUUACUUAUUAGUUUUAUAUACAUGUUAAAACUAAUGCAAUUUACAAGGAUAACCAGGUCUUCAGAACACAUCUCUUAACACUGCAAGUAUGGUAGAUACUUGUACAUUCCAUUCCGGAUUGGUAACCAACUUUUAGGAAAAUAAGGGUUUUUCCUGGGAUAACUGAACUGUUCAUAACGAGUUUUGUGUAACAAACGGAUAACUAAACUUUACUUAUAAGAAAAUAUGGGAUUUUCUUGGAUAACAACUUUUACAGAAAACCAAAGGAAACUUGUUCAUUUUCAGAAAACAAAACCGCUUAUGAACUCACCAGCUUUAUGCUGAUUUUCAAACUGCUUGUAUUCCCAGGUCCGCAUUAGACAGGUACCUCGCGAUCUUUUAGAGGAGACGGAGCGUCUAGAAGUCACGUCUUAACUUUUGUUCAUUUUGGAUGUAUAUAUCUAUAAACCUAUAUAACUUCAGUUACAAACAAAUGUAAAUACUUCUAUGUAAUGCAAUGGUUGUGUUUACUACGCUUACUAUGUACAUUGGUUGUGAUACUUAACAUGACGUCACCUCCGCCCCGGAACGUUUCUGCCUUCGGUUUCAGGGUGUGACAGUCAGGGGCGCUCAAGAGAGUGUACCUACAAAGACUUUACUAAUGCCAAACCUAAAACUUUCAAUGGGAGCGGAGGUGUCAUAGCAUUACUUCAAUGGUUCGAGAAGACCGAAUCAGUCUUUGAAAUAUGUUCAUGCCCUGAAGCAAACAAGGUCAAGUUUGCAGCAUGCACAUUCUCUAAAAGGGCACUCACCUGGUGGAAUAGCCACGUCAAGACAUUGAUACUUCCUGUCACAUCCCAAAACCAAGAACGGCGGAAACGUUUUGGGGCGGAGGACGUCAUGUAAAGUAUCACAACACAGUAUAAUAUUAAACAAGCAAACAACAUCAUCCAUUGCAUUAAAUAUAAAAUUUUAAUACAAGCGUGUUUUGUACAGUUAUAGACACCAAAACUANAAAUGUAAAUCAAAAUAAUAAGAUGAGUCUUGAAUGCGCUCCAUCUUCUCAAAAGCUGGCCUCGGUACCUGUCUACUGAUGACCUGAGACUACAAGUUAUUUUGAAAGAGUUUAUCAGCAUUAAAGCUGGUGAGUUCAUAAGUAUUUAGUGUCGGUGUUUGUAUCAAAACGUUUGAACGUGGUUUGAAGUACGAGUUUGUAAACGUUUGUAAUAAAAACUAUGUAAAUGUUUGUAAAAGUUUGAAUCUCCUAGAAAAUUCUAUAUUUCCUACUAAAAGUAGCCUUCUACCAAGGCAUAACAGUUUUGUAUGAUCGCUUCUUGUAAAAGUGUGUAAUUUUCUCAAGUGUAACUAUCAUUAUCAAAAUAUAGUUUGUACAUUAAUGUUUAAGUGAAAUGACCACUAAAUAUAUGUAAAGGGUAAAUUAAUGUAGUACUGUAGUGUUGUAUUAUAGUAACUAUGUUGUACUAACUACCUUAAACCGAAUUUAUAUCAAGGUAUUAUGUGAUUAAUUGUACCAUACUAUCGACUAUGUAACACGACAAUGUAUGUCGUAAAAAGGUAUGACGUUUGGCACCCGCAGACCUGCAGGUCCGGCUGUAGCUAGAAGCAAGGUGUAGGAUAGUUAAUCCAGUAUAGAUCUAUACGCAAACUCAUGCUCUCCCUCCAAGAGACUCUGGCUACAACUCGGGCCAUGACAUUGCAGGCAUGCUCCGAUACAGUGGAUCACAUUUAUGUUAAUGUAUUCAUGUAUAUCUAAUGUAUUGUUACUCAUUCUAGUAUCAUUGUAUAUGUUCUCUUUCUAGUAUAGUUGUAUAUGUUCUCCUUCUAGUAUAGUUGUAUAUGUUCUCAUAGUAAUAUAAUGUAUAUGUUCUCAUAGUAAUAAGUACUGACUCAUGACUGAACUGACUCAUUGUAUGUUUCAUUGUUCUAGCAAUAGUAUUAGUAUCCUCCUGUGCUACCCCUAUGGUAACUUACUAGUGAUGUAACUGGUACGUAUGAACAUGGAAGUAUACCAUUGCUACCCAAGGGUAUUGAAUGAACUGGAAGGACCUUUAUGACUAUCUAUGUACACAUGAUAUAUAACAAAUAUUUAAACGACCUUCGAAUGGAUACCCGAAACCCCACCGGACCACAUCUCAACGGCGAAAAGGAAAUAAGGCGGGCAGUGUAACAUACACGUUCUGAAAUUGAGUAUUGUUAUUAUUAAAAGUGAAUAAAAUUGAGUGAUUGAGUUCUAAGAGAUAGUUUUUACUAGAAAUGAAGUAAAACUAUAUUUAGAAUCACUCUGAAAAUGUUGGAAGUCUUAUGAGAUUCCAAUCAAAUGUCAAAUGGUAAAAAUUUAGCGAAAAUAUAAAUUUUGGAAUAAGUAAAAUUUUAUUGUUGAAAGUUGUAGAUAAUCUCGUUAGAAAAUUGUAGGCGAAAACCUCGUCGAAAUCCGAGUUAUAACGAAAAAGUUAUGACCAAACGAAGAUCCGUGAUAAAUCCGGAAAAUACUUUGUCACGUAAAAAUUUAGUUUUCGAUAAACUAAUUUUUAGUCUUAGUGAUGUAAAUGAAAGUUGUAGAACUCGUGAAAAUAAUCAACUUUCAUAUAAAUACCGUUUGAAUCUGAUUUCGUAUGAGGAAAUUAUGAUUUUUCGAAGUUUCAGCCUAGCAGUAGAUAGCUAAAAACUCGAAUUUUAGAUCGAGUGGUUUUUAGCCGACUCAACCUAAACGAGAAUUGAAGAUCUCGUCAAUAGUAGUACAACAGUAAAAAGUCUGACCAUACGAUCUGCCCAUUGAUCAUAAUAUUCUGGAAUAAGCAUUGGAAUUUUUGUGGAUGAUCCAAGCAAAUGAAAAAAUGAAGUCAUCGAAUUAAGAUUGAAUGACGCCAUUGCUGUACGAACAAAAACUUCAAGAUGAAACUUGACUUUUGAGAAUUUUGAAAAUCAAAUUGUAUGAUUCAAUUCAGAAUUACACAAAGAACACUCGAUUAACAAAAAUUUUUGCAGAAUCAAAUCCUAGAUUGAGAUCUAGAUGAAAAUUUCACAUUCAAAAAGGACGGAAACUUUUUGAAUCAAACAGUGGAUUCAAAAACCUUUUUGAUCGAAUGAAAAUCAGAUCACAGAAAGGAUUCCUGCUCUGAUACCAAUUGAAGAGAUUUGUAAUCGAGUUUAAAGAUCAAUUUAUGUAAGAAUUAAGAAAGAAGAAUCACGAUGAACAAGAGAGUAAAUAUAAUCUUUGAUCAGCUCAUAUUAUGCUUUCUGAUUUACAGAGUAUAACCAAAUUCUCUGUAAAGUGUGUGAAAAGUUCUCUUCUCACAUUGUACAGACUCCUAUUUAUAGGCAUACAAAAGCAUAAUAAAAUACUAAGGACUAGACAUUAAAGCUUCGAUAAAAUGCCUUAGUAAUUAUAACGUUCCAUUCAAAGACACAACUUACGAAGACUAACAACCCUUCGUAACAAAAACAAUACUUCGACAUAUUACAAUACAAACCCUAACAGUAUGUUUGAUAUAUAAUAACAUCUUUGGAAGGAAGAUGUGCGUUUGAAACACGUUUGGGCGAGACAAAUGUGUUGGUGCAAAUCCACGAAGUUGUUUCCACCGUUGUUCAGAUUGAAGCGGUGAUUGUUUAGAGAGUAAAAAGAACCGAAGAUGGCGAUCAAUACUUUGAUAGUAUCUCAAUCGAUGUUGUACAAGAUUUAGAAGAAUCAAAGGAAAGGCUAAUGAAGUUUUCAGACUCAAUAGGCCAAGACUUUGUGAUGUAGUAUGUAGUUCGAGUAGUAACCCUAUAAAAGAUGUUCAGACUUAGUAUUUAAUAAUACUAAGUGAUGAUUGACUUCUAUCCCAUCCUUAUAGAAGUUCCAUUGUGUGUUAAGCCGACUUUAACAUACAAGAUUGGGAUGGUGAAUUGAGUCAUUUAAUGGUAAAUGGUUAAGCAACUUACUUGUUUAAGUAAGGUAGAAUGCUUAAUUAAAGAAGAAAUACACCCAUAGUAUCGUAUGAGAAGAGAUGUUGUAGUCAGGAAUGACAGAGAACCAAGUUGAAGCUAGUAGAGCUUGCUGAGAUGCAGCUAUGAUGUAGACUUUUUAGGAUAGACUCCUAAGAAGUAGACUUAGACUUACUCAGAUACAAGAAUAACGAUUUCAAGGAAGAAUAAUGAAAUGAACAAAUGUGCAUGAUGGUUUGCAUGAGUUAGAAGAUGAUGCAGGUAGUAGAAGACCGUUUGUCUCCAUGCUGCUAGAGUAAAUUUUGGAAUAGUGUGUCUUGUAGAGUAGACACUACUCGAGAAAGAAUUUAUAUGAAUAAAUGGAAGUAAAAUUUCUAUCGACCUAUGGAAAAGUAUUAUGAUAUAUUAAAGCGAGCAAAUGCAUGAGAAGAAUCCUAGAAGACGAGUAUAGGUAAUCCAAUAUAUGUUUGAUAGAAACGUGAAAACCCUAGUUGAGUCUAGGAGAAACUGUUGUAUGUAUUUGUUUGAAGACAUGAUCUGUGAUAAGUUUCUUUGUGAAAACUUUUGAAUGGUGACUUGGGAACUGCGAGACAAUACUUGGGACGAGUAUGAGUAGGUGUGAAUAGUAGUAGAGGCCUAUACUACUGGAAGCACAGGACUCACACUUGGAUCAGGAAAAAGUCACAAGGUUACCAAGAAGCUAGUAAAUGAUUUCGUUUUAUUCAUGUGUGUCGUUACCUUCGUUUCGGUAAUGACUAAGAAGAUAAUUAUCGUUCAAAUCUUAAUGGCAUAAAGAAUCGAGUCCGAUUAGUAUAAAUCCGUGAAAGGAGUUCAUUGGUUCAGAGAACCAUGUCUUAUAUAGUGAUAAAACUUCAGUAGGAAUACUGAAGAAGUAAAUGGUCAAGGUAGUCGAUAGAAAUAUAACGAUCUUCAUUAAAGAAUUGAGCAAUCAUUAGCCAGAGAUAUGACUUGCUAUGUGGUGUUACUGGCCACAAGAAAUGUUUCUGCCCUACUCUUACUAGUCAAAUGGCGGGGAGUCAAGUUUCCGUUCAACAAUCAAAGAGUACUCCAACUAAAAAGGAGGAGGUGCCAAAAGCUAAAAGAUAUGUAGGUCCGAAAGCACGAAUUAGAGAUACGUGGUGCUAUUCUUUCUAUUCCAAAGCAUCUACGUGUUGAUCAAACUCUUUUUGUUUUCGCUAUUCUAUCAGCUCGAUUUAUUCGAUCUGAUUCUAAUACAAGAGUUUGGAUCGUUAUGUGUCUUGUGCGAGAUAAAAUCAAAGGUCAUUAGAAUAAAACCAUUCGAGUUGCUGUUAUAGCAAAAGUAAAGACCUUAUCAUGGGUUUAGUCUAUAAACCAAGAAGGAGCAGGAGUCUGCAAUGAGAAUUGAGUUUUAACUCAAAGAUUAGGAUCGAAAGCCCAAUAGAGAAUGAUGAGCGGGUGCAGGUUUGAGCACCGCUAGUAAUUAAUAAGUUUGAAGAGUCUGACAAUCGUUUGGCAAACUAAAAGUUAAAAUAUCGUACAUUUUAGAUUACCACAAAAAAAAGUAAGUUAAAACUCGAAUGUUGUGACUAGUAAUUUUCUCGUAAACUCUAGAUCUACUCACAUCUUAUUUGAUUUCAAUACCUCAGAUUCUUUCGUGCCUUAUAAAUUCGCAUAUUCUUUUCAAAUUGCUUGUUACGCAAUUGUCCAAUCAUUUCAUAUAGAUAACAUAGGAAAUAUAUCAUUACUUGCUGAUAAAGCCUAUAGAGUUAGUGUUAUAGGAAUUGAAAGUUAUAAUCUUCCUGCUAACCUAAUUCCUAUCUUUGAUAUUAUUCUCGACAUGGAUUGGUUGUUAAAGAACCACGCAGAGCUCUUGUGUUACAAAGAGAUGAUAUGCAUCCCUAUCGAAAGGGAAGAUUCUAUUUAUGUCUACGGUGAAAAUAAUAAAUUUCUUUCUUAAAAACUCGUAAAUUAUGUCGAAGGGAUAUUCUACUUAUCCGGCUUAUACGGUUAAUACCUUGAAAGAGGAGAAGAAAACUGUGAAUGAUAACCUUUGGAUAAUUGUCGACAAGCUGACUACGAGUGCAUAUUUUCUUGCCAUACGUACAACGAUUCUAAUGGAGAAAUAAGCACAAGUUUACUUAGACGAAAUUGUGGCGAGACAUGGUGCGCCACUAAAGAUUAUUUCCGAUUGUGAUACUCGUUUCACUUCUCACUUUUGGGUGAGAAUGAAGCAUGAGUUAGGAUCUCGAGUUUCUCUUAAUACAACUUAUCAUCCUCAGACAAAUGAUCAAAAAGAAGAGAGCAAUCCAAAUAGUAGAAAAUAUACUUAAGGUAUAUAAAGUACUGUAUGAGCGUAAAUGUCAUACUCAAAUAUGUUGGCGUGACAUAGGACGGAAUAUCUUUGGAGGAUCUGAAAUGAUUCAAGACAUCACUGACAAGAUACAAAUUUUCCGAGAAAGAAUGAAAGCAGCCCAGGAUCGAUAAAUGUCCUAUGCAGAAAAGAGGAGACGACCCGUAGAAUCCCGGGUGGAUGAUUUAGUAAUACUGAAGGUAUUUCAUGAGAAGGCGUUAUACUACUUUGGAAGAAAGAACGGUUGGUAAGCAAGCAUACUGCUUGGAAUUGCCUAAAUAUUUAACAAAUAUUCAUGAAGUGUUUCAUGUGAGCUAUCUGUGUAAAGGUUUAAACAUUUAUGAUGAAAUGGUUCUAUUAUCCGAGGUGAAACUGGAUAAUAAGUUAAGUAGAAGAGAUCGUCGAACGACUAAUCUACGUAAUAAAGAAGUGAAGUUGGUGCAUUCCAAGUGGAAAACACCAUCGAGACCCAAAUUAUACUUGGGAAAAUAAGAAUGAGAUAAGAAUGAAAUCUCCCCAAUUGUUUUAAAUCAUUGUGAUUUCUGGGACGAAAUCCUCAAAAGGAGGGGGUAUUUGUAACAUACACGUUCUGAAAUUGAGUAUUGUUAUUAUUAAAAGUGAAUAAAAUUGAGUGAUAGAGUUCUAACAGAUAGUUUUUACUAGAAAUGAAGUAAAACUAUAUUUAGAAUCACUCAGAAAAUGUUGGAAGUCUUAUGAGAUUCCAAUCAAAUGUCAAAUGGUAAAAAUUUAGCGAAAAUAUAAAUUUUGUAAUAAGUAAAAUUUUAUUGUUGAAAUUUGUAAAUAAUCUCGUUAGAAAAUUGUAGGCGAAAACCUCGUUGAAAUCCAAGUUAUAACGAAGAAGUUAUGACCAAACGAAGAUCCGUGAUAAAUCCAGAAAAUACUUUGUCGCGUAAAAAUUUAGUUUUCGAUAAACUAAUUUUUAGCCUUAGUAAUGCAAAUGAAAGUUGUAGAACUCAUGAAAAAUAAUCAACUUUCAUAUAAAGACCGUUUGAAUCUGACUUCGUAUGAGGAAGUUAUGAUUUUUCGAAGUUUCAGCCUAGCAGUAGACAGCUAAAAACUCGAAUUUUAGAUCGAGUGGUUUUUAGCCGACUCAAACUAAACGAGAAUUGAAGAUCUCGUCAAUAGUAGUACAACGGUAAAAAGUCUGACGAAAACGGAAGUCGAAUGAAGAAGUUAUGAAUUUUUAACGGAUUUUCCUGUCCCAGUCUGUUAAAAAAAAUAAUAUUAAAAUUAAAUUCAAAAUUAACCUACGAAGUCUAAACGAAAGUUGUAGAGCGUAAUUUUAGCUACGCGUGCAUAUAAAGAACGUCAAAAAUGGAGCUCGUAUGCGAAAGUUGUGGAUUUUAGAAGUUUUUGCACGAAAAUCGAGAAAUUUUGCAUAGGUGGCUUCGGCCACGUCACCUUCGCUCUAUGCACGCCAUGUGUUCGAACUGCUGAGUCAUCGAGGCCAGCUGGCGAGGCGUGUCGCAACCCUCACAUCCGAAGUAUAGGUCCAACAGCGGUCCGUCGCGUGCCCUCCUUACGCGUCCGAAGCUCGCUCCUUCACUGCGCCAUCCUCGCUGUCCGAACCGAGCCUCACUGGAGCCCUGCACAGCUGCCGUGUAUCUUCGCUAAGUCACCCUUCUCGGCCGACCCUCGCAUCUGUUGUCGCGUGCAGCCUUCUCAGCCCUCGGAUCCGAGCCUCUCACCCUAUAAAUACAAGGCUGCGAGCCUUCCCGAGAAACUUUGGAAUUUUGGCAUAUUUCACCCUUUUUUUAUAUUUUGACUAUUUCCACUUCUCCCGAAGCCCCGGUAUUAUAUUUAAAGCCCGGAAUACGUCCUGAAGUGCCCGGAAAGCCCGAAAAAAUUAUCUUUUCGGUUUUGAAUCUCUACCUUCCCAGAGCCCGGUUUUUCAAUAAAUCUCCCGGUUUCAACGAAUAAAGUCAUAUUUAGAGCCGAAAUGUUGCACAAAUUAUUAUUUUGACCCCCGGAUUAUUUCAAGGUGAGUUUAAUAUAUAGGAACAAUUGUAUGUUAUGUGUUAUAUGUGCUACAUGCUUUUCAGUGUUAUUAUUCCGGGUUAUUUUCCCGGGUUAUUUUUAUUUGCUAUUUUUAAUAGCAAAGAAAUACCUUUGACCAUGUGAUCAGUGAAAGGACUUAGAUUCACGUUGGUACUGGUAUGUAGCCUCUGGCCAUGUGGAACAUGUCUCCGUAAGAGAAUGAAUUCUAUUCUAUGGUAGUGGCAGAAGGUUAGACAGGGCUAUAAGCCUGAAAUCUACCAAAAUGUUAAUCCGAAGUUGUAUAUCUUCUGUGCCGUUUGGGCCAAAGCUUUAUUGAUGUAUAUCAAGCAUGAAAAUUGUUAUGUCUCAUUGAUUGUAUAUCUUUAAAUCAAAUCAAUGAUUGAUAUGGAAUGUUUGUCACAUGAUUCACAUAUGCCCUUGUUGUUCCUUGUUCCUCUUUGCUUCUGCCCUAUUAAAGUAUAUAUAUGGCAUAACGUUAUAUUGUAUCUAUUAUUGAACUCACUAAGCGUCACCGCUUACCCUCUCGAUGUUUAACAAAUUGCAGGAGAUAAACAUCCAGUAUAGUUAUAUACUGGUAGAAGAUUUUUGAAUAGAUUGAAACUAUUGUAUCGAUAGAACUUAUGAAUAGUUUGAAACUAUUGUAUUUUGCACUCCCAUAUGUAUAAAACUAUGAAUCCUGGGAAGUUAUGUAAUAUAUAACACUUUAAAAUAGUCGGUUUGUAUCCAGUAGUUUGUAACCUCUUUAUCAAUGUAAAAUAUUUUUUUAUGAAUAUGCAAGUAACAUGUUUUGGAGUAACUAUAUUGUCGUGUAUGAAAGUUUGGGUCUUUCAUAAAUACGAAAGUUAGGGUCUUUCAGGAAGGCCUUCCUAAGCCUUUUAAACAUUGCUUAUGUAUAUACAUAGACAUGCAAUUGAUAAUAAGUAUAACAGAGCUUAAGUAAAUGUAUUUGAUAAGUAUAAGAAUUUGUAAAACAGUUUGAAGCAAAACAGUUUGAUAAACAGUUUGAACAGUAAGAAAAUCACUGGUUUUGUAGUUAUUAAUCACAUGUGAUUAAUGUAAUAACUAUAAGUAUUCAACUUGUAUNNNNNNNNNNNNNNNNNNNNNNNNNNNNNNNNNNNNNNNNNNNNNCCAUUGAUUAAGGGGUAUGAACUCACCUAUAGUGAGUGGU